UACGAAGGGGGCUAGCGUUGCUCGGAAUCACUGGGCGUAAAGGGCGUGUAGGCGGGUAGAUAAGUCGGGCGUGAAAUCCCUAGGCUCAACCUAGGAACUGCACUCGAAACUGUUUAUCUUGAGUGCCGGAGAGGAAAGCGGAAUUCCUGGUGUAGAGGUGAAAUUCGUAGAUAUCAGGAGGAACACCAGUGGCGAAGGCGGCUUUCUGGACGGUAACUGACGCUGAGACGCGAAAGCGUGGGGAGCAAACAGG
rnacentral:rRNA from 1 species